UAAGUCCCGUAACGAGCGCAACCCUUGUCCUCAGUUACCAGCGGUUCGGCCGGGAACUCUGGGGAGACUGCCGGUGACAAACCGGAGAAGUGGGGACGACGUCAAGUCAUCAUGGCCCUUACGGUAGGGCUACACACGUGCUACAAUGGCAGGUACAAAGGGUUGCAAGACGGCGACGUGGAGCUAAUCCCAUAAAGGCCUGCCUCAGUACCGGAUCGGAGUCUGCAACUCGACUCCGUGAAGUCGGAAUCGCUAGUAAUCGCAGAUCAGCAUGCUGCGGUGAAUACGUUCCCGGGCCUU
rnacentral:rRNA from 1 species